rnacentral:tRNA from 1 species
GGUCUCGUAGCUCAGCUGGAUAGAGCAACAGCCUUCUAAGCUGUAGGCCCUGCGUUCGAGUCGCAGCGGGAUCA